rnacentral:rRNA from 1 species
UAGCCGACAGGGGUGGGGGUUCUCGGACACUUGGGUUGCGACACGGCUCAGGCUCCUACGGGAAGCAGCCGUAGGGAAUCUUCCGCAAUGGACGACAGUCUGACGGAGCUACGCGGCGUGAGUGAUGAAGGCUUUCGGGUCGUAAAACUCUGUUGUUAGGGAAGAACAAGUGCUAGUUGAAUAAUCUGGCACCUUGACGGUACCUAACCAGAAAGCCACGGCUAACUACGUGCCAGCAGCCGCGGUAAUACGUAGGUUGCAAUCGUUAUCCGGCAUUAUUGGCCGUACAGCGCGCGCAGGUGGUUUCUUAAGUCUGAUGUGAAAGCCCCCGGCUCAACCGUGCAGGGUCAUUGGAUACUGGUAGCCUUUUGUGCAGAAGAGGUAAGUGGACUGCCUUGUGUAUCGGUGUUUUGCUUAGCGAU